UUUUUUAAAGGUUAUUUGUCAAGACAAAAGAGAAGAAUUUCUUAUUCCUUCUAUUGAUUUUUAUAUAAACACUAGAGUCGUGUGUGCUUUGUAUACAUUGGAUAGACGAUUGUUUCUUUGAUCAAAACAACGAACGAACGUUUACUUGACUUUGAUGAUUCUCGAUUUAGUCUUCUUUCGGAUUCCGACGAGGAAACAUCGGGGCUCUCUCUCUCCAAACAAAAGGAACUGUUGCCAGGAAAAUAUUUACAGCAUUUCUCGAUGCUCGACCAAUCGAAAUAAUCGUCUAUCCACGAAGAGGCAGCUUUCGAUAAAUACGAUCUGGAAUGAAAUAAAAUUAUAAGUUUCUAUCCGUUUAAAUGAUAUGAAAUCAAAUAAAAGAUUAAAACAAAUGUAAGUUUAGCUAACAUAGACGAUUGAUUUGCUGCGGAAUAUAUUUGGGUGUAUAGAGAAUCCACGUUACAUCGUUGACCACCGCAAAUUAUAUUUUGAACAUUGGUGUUACUGUAAUUUAAGCCUUCCGUUACUAUAAAAUAUACAGGUGGUCCCAUAGAUAACAGAUCCUCCAUAUACUUGAAAAUAAGCAAAAAAAGUGGUAUGAUUUUUCAAGUAAAAAUGAUAUUACUUUUGUAAUUAGUUGUUAUCUUGAUGUAUUACCUGGAAGUACUUUAAAACAUAUGAGUCUUCAGGCAUUGAUAAUUUCUGAUCUAAGCCAACAUCGAUGUUAGGAAAUACAGCGACGUGAACAGUGAAUAUAACUAUGAAAAUAACCAAAACGGCGAUUCUAACCGGUUUUUUCAUGAGAAACGAUGUGUAGACCUGCUCGAAUAGAGUAUGAACUAAUCCAGCGUUAUCAGAUUCUACGUGCGAUCUUUUAUUUGUCGAUAUGCAGCAGAGCACGUCUAAUCGAAUUUGCUGAAAGAGAAUUACUUUUAUAUUUUAAAUAUUUCUAAUAUCAAUCGCGUUAAAGACAGUUCUUUCCUUUUUUUUCCUUUUUUGUUUUAUAUUAAACAUCGACGUUACCUCCGAUCUCCGGGAAUCCAAAGAUAAUAAACUAAUGAAGGCAGUGAUUUGAAGGAUGAAAUUGAUUAGAAUAGACAAGGAUGCAUACAUCGCGAACGUAUUAACUGCUGGCAUAGAUGACAAUGUACCUAAAAUCAUUCAUCGCGAUUAUCGUAUUAUUCUCAUAAUGUAUUUAGAUUCAUGAUCUUUUUUAUCUUUUUCAUCUCACCAAUUAGAAAGCAGAAUAAUUCCGACAUGCUAGUUAAUAACAUAGAAGGUCCAACCUUGGCUGUGAUUCUACCUAAAUGUUCUGGUAUCGAUUCUUCCGGAUGUUUACGAUUUCUUUGAUAUGUUUGCACCAAAAUAAAAAUAUUAUCGACUCCAACAGCUAGUACUAGGAAUGGAAUUACCUGCGUACGAUUAUCGAUAUGAAAAACAUUCUUCGUUAAGAAUUUUGUUUGUCCAUUUAUAAAAAGUAAAAAUAUGAUAAAAAAUAUAAUUACCUCGAUCGUAAGCAAAGUAGUAGGUACACCUAUGUAUCCGAAAAUUCCCAGUGAAGAAGCUACCGAUGCAAUUACUAUAAUAAUACCACCAAUACUUACGACAAUUUUACUCGAACC